rnacentral:rRNA from 1 species
AUGGUGCAUUUGAACCGAAGUGAUAGUUUCUCUCAUCAUGUUGAAAGAGUUGUGAAUCGGCUUGAAGGUUCGAACAAAAAGUUGAUGUCGUUAGGUGGGAAUAAAAUUCUUUUGAUACCCGUUAUCCAGUCUAUUCCUAUGUAUGCUAUGGUUGUUUUCAAAAUCCCAAAAAAAGUGUGCAAAGAAGUUACAGAUGUAACAGAAGCCUUUUGGUGAGGGGACACACAGGAGGAAAAGAAAAUGCAUUGGCUAGCUUGAUGGAGGAUGUGUCUUCCAAAAGAUAAGUGGGGCAUGGGGUUUAGCGAUUCGGGUGCAUCUAAUUCAGCCAUGUUAACCAAGCGAAGGUGGAGAAUGAUAACUCACUUUGUUACUCUUUGUGCUACGUUCUUAAGAGCGAAGUACUUUUCUGAUGGAAAAGUUCAAAAAGCAAACACUUUUCUAAUGGAAACAUUCUGA